GAUGAACGCUGGCGGCGUGCCUAAUACAUGCAAGUCGAGCGAACAGACGAGGAGCUUGCUCCUCUGACGUUAGCGGCGGACGGGUGAGUAACACGUGGAUAACCUACCUAUAAGACUGGGAUAACUUCGUGAAACCGGAGCUAAUACCGGAUAAUAUAUUGAACCGCAUGGUUCAAUAGUGAAAGACGGUUUUGCUGUCACUUAUAGAUGAAUCCGCGCCGCAUUAGCUAGUUGGUAAGGUAACGGCUUACCAAGGCAACGAUGCGUAGCUGACCUGAGAGGGUGAUCGGCCACACUGGAACUGAGACACGGUCCAGACUCCUACGGGAGGCAGCAGUAGGGAAUCUUCCGCAAUGGGCGAAAGCCUGACGGAGCAACGCCGCGUGAGUGAUGAAGGUCUUCGGAUCGUAAAACUCUGUUAUUAGGGAAGAACAAAUGUGUAAGUAACUAUGCACGUCUUGACGGUACCUAAUCAGAAAGCCACGGCUAACUACGUG
rnacentral:rRNA from 1 species